CACGUAGGGCGCAAGCGUUGUCCGGAAUUAUUGGGCGUAAAGAGCUCGUAGGCGGUCUGUUGCGUCCGCUGUGAAAACUCGGGGCUUAACCCCGAGCCUGCAGUGGAUACGGGCAGACUAGAGGUAGGUAGGGGAGAAUGGAAUUCCCGGUGUAGCGGUGAAAUGCGCAGAUAUCGGGAGGAACACCGGUGGCGAAGGCAGGUCUCGUGGGCCACUACUGACGCUGAGGUGCGAAAGCGUGGGGAGCAAACAGG
rnacentral:rRNA from 1 species